CUGUGAUGCAUAUCCAUUGUUAACAGCAAUAAAACUCCAAGCCUGGCCGUCCUUUAAACCCUCAUAAUUAUACACACCAUUUACACUGGAUCUGUUGCCUGCUCUGAUGGGCACUCGGGUGGCAGUGUGCGAUUCUCAGCAAAGCCAGCCGUCAAUGGAGCAGGAGCCUGUGCUCCUCGAACGAACUUCCCUGACACAUGGCAAGAUUUUUGUCCAGCAUCUCCUAGAAGUCAGCAAUGGUACCAAUUACCUCUGCAGAGCCAGCCAGCCGUCUCGACGGUUUGACAGAUGACUUUGACCUCAGCAAACAUGAGGACCUUCUCUCGGUUGACACAUAUGCCUGCUGUUGAAGGGGGAGGUUGAUGGGUUGAGGUGCGGGUAUGGAGGAUGCAAGGCUUAUUCUCAGAUUGCAUCGUGUACAGUACAAGCCUCGGGCAGACAAGGACAGAUUUUGUCCCCUGAUGUUCACAGGAACACGUAAAAAAAUGAACAUCCAAUAAAAGCUUCUAAUUGUC